CGCCUAAAGAGCAGGUCAAAGGACAGGAAGGAGAUUUAGAUGGUUUAAAAUCUCACAGCGGAGGGGAUUAAUGGAGGGGGCGGGCAGGUGUACAGGGUGGAGCCUUCCUGAUCCCAGGGCUGAAGGAUGGCGGUCCUGGCCCGCCAGCUGCAGCGUCUCCUCUGGUCCGCUUGCAAGAAAAAGGAGAGGGAGAAGGAGGGGAGGGAGGAAGAGGAGGAGGAGGAGGCGGGGCGCAGGGCCCACGAAGGGCCUCGGUCUCUGUUGACAGCGCCGCGCCGAGCCCAGCGGCCGCACGGGGGUGCCGAGGCGUCUGGGGGCCUGCGCUUCGGGGCGAGCGCAGCGCAAGGCUGGCGCGCGCGCAUGGAGGAUGCUCACUGCACUUGGCUUUCGUUACCUGGUCUGCCCCCGGGCUGGGCCUUGUUUGCCGUCCUCGACGGCCACGGUGGUGCUCGAGCUGCCCGCUUCGGUGCACGCCAUUUGCCAGGCCAUGUGCUCCAGGAGCUGGGCCCGGAGCCUAGCGAGCCCGAGGGCGUGCGCGAGGCGCUGCGCCGAGCCUUCUUGAGCGCCGACGAGCGCCUGCGCUCCCUCUGGCCCCGCGUGGAAACGGGGGGCUGCACGGCCGUGGUGUUGCUGGUCUCCCCGCGGUUUCUGUACCUGGCACACUGCGGUGACUCCCGCGCGGUGCUGAGCCGCGCUGGCGCCGUGGCCUUCAGCACAGAGGACCACCGGCCCCUUCGACCCCGGGAACGCGAGCGCAUCCACGCCGCUGGCGGCACCAUCCGCCGCCGCCGCGUCGAGGGCUCUCUGGCCGUGUCGCGAGCGUUGGGCGACUUUGCCUACAAGGAGGCUCCGGGGAGGCCCCCCGAGCUACAGCUCGUUUCUGCGGAGCCUGAGGUGGCCGCACUGGCACGCCAGGCUGAGGACGAGUUCAUGCUCCUGGCCUCUGAUGGCGUCUGGGACACUGUGUCUGGUGCUGCCCUGGCGGGACUGGUGGCUUCGCGCCUCCGCUUGGGCCUGGCCCCAGAGCUUCUCUGCGCGCAGCUGUUGGACACGUGUCUGUGCAAGGGCAGCCUGGACAACAUGACCUGCAUCCUGGUCUGCUUCCCUGGGGCCCCUAGGCCUUCUGAGGAGGCGAUCAGGAGGGAGCUAGCACUGGACGCAGCCCUGGGCCGCAGAAUCGCUGAACUGUGUGCCUCUGCUCAGAAGCCCCCCAGCCUGAACACAGUUUUCAGGACUCUGGCCUCAGAGGACAUCCCAGAUUUACCUCCUGGGGGAGGGCUGGACUGCAAGGCCACUGUCAUUGCUGAAGUUUAUUCUCAGAUCUGCCAGGUCUCAGAAGAGUGCGGAGAGACUGGGUCUCACUAUGUUGCCCAGGCUGGUCUCAAACUCCUGGGCUCAAGGGAUCCUCCUGCUUUGGCCUCCCAAAGUGCUGGGAUUACAGGCGGGAGCCACUGCAACCCAGCCAGCUUCCUAUAUUAAUACAUUCCUACUCCCAGCCCUGAAGCAUUGUGCAAGGCAUGAGGAGGGAGACGCAGAUGCAGAGAAGAGACUGUGAUUCCCCUCCAAGAAAUGUGAGCCGGCAACGCUCUGCAUUGCCCCAUCAGCCCAAGUGCUUCCCACAUCCAAGAAUAAGAUGGAAACAUUCAGGGAAUGCUAAUGACCAAUUCUAAGGCCUGGACGCACAGCAGAUACCAUCAGGACAUACAUGAGUAUGAUCCAGGUCUUAGACAAGAGAAGCUGUAAUGGGGCCCAGAUAGCUAAGGAGAAUUUGGAGAUAUCCAAAGAGAAGGGGCAGGAUGGGGAUGGGAAGUCCACCCCCACGCAUUUGGGCUCAGCCUUGGACAUGGAGGCCUGACAGCUGUUGUCCUUUGGGGAUCCUUUGCUUCUCUGGGGCCUCAACAGAACUAAAGAAGAAAACCGACCCUUUCCCCAACUACAUGUACCAGCGGAAGGAAGGAAGGCCAAUGUAGGAACCCAAAAUGCUUAUUUCUUCUUCUCUUACUUCCCUCUCACAGAAAAGUCUUACGAAUGGGGAAAUUCCACCAACAUCCAGACCAAAAAGAAAAAAGCCCAAAACGAAAAAAAACCAAAAAAACAAAAAACAAAAAACCCCCAACCAAAUGUUUUUGAAAUAUUCUGAGCCGAACAGAUUCUGAGAGAUAACCCAGUCCAAUAACCUCUUUCUUUCUUAUUACUCAUCUGUUUUUGAGGGGAAGUAGAGUUUUGAUUAUUAAACUUUAUUUACAUAAGUGAUUCCAAAUACAUUUUCUUGUAAAAAACAAGAAAA